AUACAUGCAGUCGAGCGGACAGAAGGGAGCUUGCUCCCGGAUGUUAGCGGCGGACGGGUGAGUAACACGUGGGUAACCUGCCUGUAAGACUGGGAAACUCCGGGAAACCGGAGCUAAUACCGGAUAGUUCCUGAACCGCAUGGUUAAGGAUGAAAGACGGUUUCGGCUGUCACUUGCAGAUGGACCCGCGGCGCAUUAGCUAGUUGGUGAGGUAACGGCUCACCAAGGCAACGAUGCGUAGCCGACCUGAGAGGGUGAUCGGCCACACUGGGACUGAGACACGGCCCAGACUCCUACGGGAGGCAGCAGUAGGGAAUCUUCCGCAAUGGACGAAAGUCUGACGGAGCAACGCCGCGUGAGUGAUGAAGGUUUUCGGAUCGUAAAGCUCUGUUGUUAGGGAAGAACAAGUGCAAGAGUAACUGCUUGCACCUUGACGGUACCUAACCAGAAAGCCACGGCUAACUACGUGCCAGCAGCCGCGGUAAUACGUAGGUGGCAAGCGUUGUCCGGAUUAUUGGGCGUAAAGGGCUCGCAGGCGGUUCUUAAGUCUGAUGUGAAAGCCCCGGCUCACCGGGGAGGGUCAUGGAACUGGGAAACUUGAGUGCAAAAAGGAAAGU
rnacentral:rRNA from 1 species